rnacentral:misc_RNA from 1 species
UUGAGGUUUCAUCCCUUUUGGGAUCCUCUCACACUUGCAUUGUUACAAUGUUGCUUCGGCAGAGCGCAAGCAAUUGCCGCUGACUCUCGAGUAAGCGCGUCUCUGCCGAAGACCCAAACUCGUCCAAUUUUUGCAGUCUUGUAAAAAACAAAUUGAAACA